rnacentral:rRNA from 1 species
AAUCAAUUGAAGGGUUUGAUUCUGGCUCAGAAUGAACGUUGGCGGCGUGGAUUAGGCAUGCAAGUCG